rnacentral:rRNA from 1 species
GUCUAUGGCCAUACCAUCCUGAGUGCGCCUGAUCUCGUCUGAUCUCAGAAGCUAAGCAGGGUCGGACCUGGUUAGUACUUGGAUGAGAGACA